UCUCAACAUAAACAAAAGGGGCCAGGGCGGAGACCCCAACCCGAAAACUUCUCCCAACAGGCUCUGAGGGGGCGUGGCCGCAGGGGGCGGGCGCGGCCGCGCAGUGCCCUCGCGGGGUUGCGGGGAGGAGGGUCCGGGCGGGAGGACGUCCGCCCACGCGCGCUGUAAACAGUGCCGGGCUCUAGAGGGAUCCCCGCGGCUUGUUUUGGUGACUGCGCGCAGAAGGUGAAUAUGUAGGAAAUGACGAUCCAUUCCUGCGUGGAAGGCCAGCGCUCCAUCUUCACUAACACGAUAUAGUUGAACAGCAUCAGGUACCCGACGUACGCCAGCUGUAAGGAAACAGAGUCAAGUGCGCUCUGGCUUUGAAGACCCAGGAGCCCUGCCCUCGGGCAAGCCCACUGCCCCAAAGGACGGAACAAGGGAGGAGAAACGCAGACGCUGUGGAAGCUGCGUCGCCAACUCCACACAUCUUACAGAACCACUGGGAAAAGCUUUCAUUCCUGCCUGCGCGCUCCUUCCAUUGUGACUCACAGAGGAAGCCGCACAGGUGCACACGAACUUGACCUUGGCUCUCUGUGGUCACGCAAGAGGAGAAGAGAAAGGAAGAUGCUUACCGUGUAGAACCAGAACUUGACGAUGGGUGCAUUGUAGAAUUCAUAGAUUUUUCUGCCCAGGGGGAUUAGCCGGUGUCUGCUCUGAACUUCCUCUUCAUCCUUCUUUCUGGAAGACUCCCCAUUGUUUCGUCCCAACAUUGCCUACAGUGGAAGAGAAUCAAUACCAUCAUGGCAGGGCUCUGGAGAGCAGGUAGUUCAAUGCCUCAUUUUACAGAUCAGGAAUGCGCUCUCAUCGAGCUGGAGAGUGUUGUCCAAGGUCCCCAGAGAUUCAGAGGUUGUGCCUUCCCUAAGUGUGCAUUUGCAUUACAAAGAGAAUCAAAGGUUUUUGCCUGGGAUGGAAGGCCUUAGGGAGAGUUCUUAAUUACUCUCUUUUCUUCUACCCUGGAAGCUCUGGAAGAUGUGCGUGAUGGAAGAGCCCCAGAAUUCUGAGAGGGAGAAUGAGUAUAGCCUGGAAAGGCCAGGAAUCUGUCUUUUCUUUUCACCCCCUAUCCUCAUAUAUGUAGUGAGAUAGGCAGAUCUGGAUUCAAAUUCUGUCUUCACUCAUGCUAAUGACUAUUAAGUAAGACAUACACUGGACCAGUAAUACCUAACUUACCCAAAGGUUAUGAGUAAUCCAGAGGCUAAGUUAUCUGAAAUGCCUGGAACUUAGUUAGGUUAGAAACAUCUCCUCAACCCUUAGGCAUAAACCUUGGUUCCCUGAGUUCAAACCCCAUAAAUCCUGCAUCCCUGCUGGUAUUAGUUUUAUGGCAACUCCUAGGCACACCGCCUUCCUCUGGGUCGGACAGUGAGCCAGGUGGGACUAGGAGAAGCAGGGCCUGACCUGGACAGGCCUCAUCUCUAAGCUGUUGGAAGUUUCUUUACAAAUAGAAUUGUUUCCUUCUCACUCAUGGCAACAGCAGCAGCAAAAACAGUGAUUAAAUAUCACAAACAAGGCAGAAUUUGUGAAAAGGCAGAUGCACACCUGUCUGGGCAGCAGGUGACAGGAUGUGUCCCAGAGAUGGCUGAAGAUCCUAUUGGGGAAGAGUUCCAGACUUCGGCCACUCAGAAGGACUGAAUCGUCUCUUGGAUACUGAGAAUCCAUGGUACCUUGGGAAAGUCUUUUAACCUCUCUGAAUCUUAGUUUCUUUAUCUUUAAAUGGGAGGUAAUAAUAGCCUCUUUUAUAGGAUUGGUCUAGAAAUCAAUAAGCAUCUGGCACUUAAUAAGUGCUCAGUAUUUCUAGCCAGUGUUUACAAUGAACUGAGACUUUCUUGGGUACUCUUGACUGAAAUGAUCUAGUUGGGAAUCUUUCAUCAGAAAAAAGAAAAGUGUAAUCAGGGUCUAAAACAGCAUAAUUUUUGGCUGUCUUUUCCUUCCUUCCUUCCUUCCUUCCUUCCUUCCUUCCUUCCUUCCUUCCUUCCUUCCCUCCUUCCCUCCUUCCCUCCUUCCCUCCUUCCUUCCUUCC